CCUACGGGAGGCAGCAGUGAGGAAUAUUGGUCAAUGGAGGCAACUCUGAACCAGCCAUGCCGCGUGAAGGAUGACGGCUCUAUGGGUUGUAAACUUCUUUUAUAUGGGAAGAAACUUAUCUACGUGUAGAUAACUGACGGUACCAUACGAAUAAGGAUCGGCUAACUCCGUGCCAGCAGCCGCGGUAAUACGGAGGAUCCAAGCGUUAUCCGGAUUCAUUGGGUUUAAAGGGUCCGUAGGCGGAUUUUUAAGUCAGUGGUGAAAGCCGACAGCUCAACUGUCGAACUGCCAUUGAUACUGGAGAUCUUGAGUACAAAUGAAGUAGGCGGAAUGAGUCAUGUAGCGGUGAAAUGCAUAGAUAUGACUCAGAACACCAAUUGCGAAGGCAACUUACUAACAUGUAACUGACGCUGAGGGACGAAAGCGUGGGGAGCGAACAGGAUUAGAUACCCUGGUAGUCCACGCCGUAAACGAUCAUCACUCGCUGUUGGCGAUAUACAGUCAGCGGCCAAGCGAAAGUAUUAAGUGAUGCACCUGGGGAGUACGCCGGCAACGGUGAAACUCAAAGGAAUUGACGG
rnacentral:rRNA from 1 species